rnacentral:lncRNA from 1 species
GCAAGAUUGUUUAUCAUGGAAGCCUCUACAAUAAACUUAUGAGAUCCAUUGUUGCUUCUUAUGUACACUACCACAUUCAGAUCUCACAAAACCAUAUCAGCAAGAUCGGUACACUUCUUGGCAAACAUUAACUGGCUAGCCCGACAAGGUAAGUUUGCGAUUUAGACCAGUGUCAGUAGACUAAACAAGCAUCAAACAUGCUUGAGAUUGAUGGAAUAAGCAGUUGUCUUCCUAAGGAUUAGCCAAAUUGGUGGCCUCGGUACAAGAGUAAACCUUGUAACUAGGUUUUGAAAACAGUUCUCAGUAAAUUGAACCGCCAAUAUGAGGUCAAAAUUGUGAAAGCUCUUCAACAUAUCUCCAGGGCUAAACAUUGUUAUUUGCUCCCAACUUUACAAUUUACUACUAAAACCAUAUUACUGUAUUUUAAUUGAUAAUUAAUUUGAAAUUAAUUGCGACAAAAUAAUAAAGUUAACAAUGUUGAUUAGAUUUUCAGUUUAUGAUCAGAAAUAUUUUCGUUUGAACUAAAACACUUAUUCCAUAUAUAAAUAAGGUCAUACACUAUAUGUUGAUAAGUCUUUCCUGAAUUUUAAGCGAUAGGUUUCGAAAAUAUCUAAAAAGACCAAACUUUUUAUUAGCGAAGAAUAUUUCUUGCUGAACAAUAUAUGGCUAUAUUUCUUGUCUAUCUUUAUUGAGCGUUUUCAUUUGUUUGGCUUCAAUCAGUGCACGAGGAAGCUAUGGUUAUGGAUGUGUUUUAAAUUUAGGCAUGUUUCCCUCCUUGAAGUAUAUUCCCUUUAGGCAUUUCUGAACUUACUUUGCAAAUUGUGAUUAAUUUCCUUGUUAUGGGUAAUUACUAUUUUGGAAGUUAGAGCAAGUUGCUCUCUCUAUGUCUCUCUAAAAUUUUGUUUUUUCCUCUAUAAGACUUUUGUUUGCGUGCACAGCAUGAUUAAGGGCGUGCACGCACACCGUUGGAGUGUGAUAGAGACAAGAGGUGAAGUGUAGCAUCCAAAUCUUCUUCUUCUUCUUGUUCUGUUCUUUGUUCUUUCUCUAAAUUCAGAAACCAGUUAGAGUUCCAAUUGCUCCUAAAAAAAUAAAUACCAUAAUACAGAGUACUAAACUUUAAAGUUGUAUCAUCCUUAUCUCAAACCAUGUGGAAGGUGGAAGCCAGAAUAAUAUUUAUAAUCAAACUUUUCUUUUUCAAAAAUGGGUUUUAUAAAAUGUUUUGACCUUCAUUCUUCAUUCAAUGGAGCUUCUGCCGUUUGGAACCUAGUAGAGUAUAUACGGGUAACAUAAAAUUAACAUAUUGAAUUGAAUAUAUUAUAGUUCUACUAUUAAAUCUCAAAUCCAAGUUUGAUCCCCUUCCUUGUCAACUUUCGUAAAGUAGGCAGUCAGAAUUCUCAUAUUAAAUACCAGAGCUGGAAAUUUGACUCAUUACAUAAGACAGAAUAAAAUUUUAUUAAGAGACUAGCCCUGGCAGGGUGACCUAAUUGUAGGUUACAGUAAUCUGUAGGAACCUGAGAAAUUGUAAUAUACUUACAUACACAUAUUUACUUCCAGUGGGAGAUGCAAUUUGAUCCAAAUGCAAGAUUGUUUAUCAUGGAAGCCUCUACAAUAAACUUAUGAGAUCCAUUGUUGCUUCUUAUGUACACUACCACAUUCAGAUCUCACAAAACCAUAUCAGCAAGAUCGGUACACUUCUUGGCAAACAUUAACUGGCUAGCCCGACAAGGUAAGUUUGCGAUUUAGACCAGUGUCAGUAGACUAAACAAGCAUCAAACAUGCUUGAGAUUGAUGGAAUAAGCAGUUGUCUUCCUAAGGAUUAGCCAAAUUGGUGGCCUCGGUACAAGAGUAAACCUUGUAACUAGGUUUUGAAAACAGUUCUCAGUAAAUUGAACCGCCAAUAUGAGGUCAAAAUUGUGAAAGCUCUUCAACAUAUCUCCAGGGCUAAACAUUCUAAUCAACACUUUUAGCACCUCUCUGACACAGGGGAAGAUCGAGGAUAACUAAGAAAUAACAUCUUUCUGACUCUCUGAUGUAUUGGACUUCACCUUGCAU